UCCACCAUUUGGUAACUGAUGGCAAUGCAGCAGCUGUGUGGUUCCCACUUUAUGCGGCAGCUGUUCUUCUACCGAUCUGUUGCUCGGUGAUCAAUUGUGUGUGGUUGGUUAAUUUACUAGCCGCAUGGAUUGGGGAUAUGUACUUCGGUUUGGGUUCAUCAAAAGGGGCAAUUGUUGAGCAUUUGUAUCAACUAUCGAGGAUCUCAAGUUCACAUGGAUCACACUAUGAUCAAGUGCAUUCUGGUGCUGUGAUGAUUGUGACGGAAAAUGUUAGCAGCAGAAGCAAUCGCUACGUUCGUGAACUGAAAAAAUGGUGGCUCCAUGCGGGAUUUUGACCUCCAUACGAAAUCUGCAAGGGUAACAACAACAAAGGAAACUGGUGUAAGAUUGAGUAGUAAGACUCAAAGAUGAGCUACCAUCAAGAUUAUGUCUCGACAAUCAAGUAUAGUGAUUAUUUUUACCGAACUCAUAGAAGUAGAUUGUGUAUCCCAUCCAACGUUCAACCUAAUGGACAUUGAGGGAACCACUUUGAGUAGGCAAUUGUUUGUGUGGAGGAAAAUGCAUGGUACUAAAGCUAACCUUCCUCUGGUCCAGAUGAAAUCAAGGCAACUGGGUCUUCUAUCUUCAAACAUCGAUUUGUUUAAUUUAAGCCCAGACCAUGCUGGCAGUGAGUCAGAAUCACCCUGCUUUGUGCUGUCCUAAUUCAAGUUGCGCCGCCACAAAAUGCUUCUAAUUUAACUGCUGUAAGCGCAGCAAUAGGAGCAGCGCAGGUGGCCACUGCAGCUAAGCUCCACAUGGAACGUAUGCCCUGUUGCACCCUCGCAGGUCAUUAUCAUCUCAUCUCACCACACUCAUGCCACAUAACCUGAUAAUUGAUGAAAAAACUUUGAUAAAGAAAUACCGGCGCCGUCUCAUCGUCUUCAUCGACAUGAGCAUCUCUGUCGGUCCACGCGUCCAUGCCUCCCCAUCUACCACACUGGAGUGGCCGCCUCCUGGUUGAGGUAUCGCGCCGCCACCGCUGCCCGGGUCCAUCCUCCCCUCCUGCCGAGGCUGAGGUGAUCACCAUGAGGAUGAGGAGGUCAGUGGCUGAUAUAGAGAGCUCCUCGAACGAGGAAGUAGCAGUUCUGGAGCAACUCGAAGAUGUCAUUUUUCAGUUUUGAUGGGAAUCGCUACAACAACAAUUAGAAGAGACUGCAUUGCACGUUCAGAACCAAUUUCUUGGGGAUUAUGGCAAGGAGCAGUGGUCGUUUGGGUUCUUGGGGAACGACAUUUACAGUUCAGUAGGAAAUUUCAAGCAUGGACCAAGGAAACAAGAUGCUGAUGGAGUGUCAUGUAUUGCUGCCACCUGAUUUUCUGUUAUUGGACAAAGUUCUGUACUGAUAGUCCAAAACUUUGUGGUCGCGCAGGCUAUUCAGCCUUUAAUCAUAUUUAACAUCAUCAGGGUCUCUGGACAAACAAGCUCGAGGAGGCCAUUGUUUGGUCCGGCCCACGACGACAACCACACCAUUGACCACUGAAGCAAGGUCCUUAUAUGGUCACUGAAGAAAUCAUAUUUUCUUCCGACAGAAGGGCACUUUUCUUGAAUCUUUGUCAGUGUCUGUUGUAAUUUACUAUCAUCCCUAAGACAAAGUUGAUUCUGUGUUGCCGUUCUUUA